rnacentral:rRNA from 1 species
ACUCCUACGGGAGGCAGCAGUGGGGAAUUUUGGACAAUGGGGGCAACCCUGAUCCAGCAAUGCCGCGUGAGUGAAGAAGGCCCUCGGGUUGUAAAGCUCUUUUGUCAGGGAAGAAACGGUGAUCUCUAAUAUAGAUUGCUAAUGACGGUACCUGAAGAAUAAGCACCGGCUAACUACGUGCCAGCAGCCGCGGUAAUACGUAGGGGUGCAAGCGUUAAUCGGAAUUACUGGGCGUAAAGCGUGCGCAGGCGGUUUUGUAAGUCUGAUGUGAAAUCCCCGGGGCUCAACCUGGGGAACUGCAUUGGAGACUGCAAGGCUAGAGUGUGUCAGAGGGGGUAGAAUUCCACGUGUAGCAGUGAAAUGCGUAGAGAUGUGGAGGAAUACCGAUGGCGAAGGCAGCCCCCUGGGAUAACACUGACGCUCAUGCACGAAAGCGUGGGGAGCAAACAGGAUUAGAUACCCUGGUAGCACAGAG